rnacentral:rRNA from 1 species
AUUGAACGCUGGCGGCAUGCCUAACACAUGCAAGUCGAACGGCAGCACAGUAAAGAUUUCGGUCUUUAUGGGUGGCGAGUGGCGGACGGGUGAGUAAUGCGUAGGAAUCUGUCCUGGAGAGUAGGAUAACCCGAGGAAACUCGGGCUAAUACUGCAUGAUAUCGAGAGAUCAAAGGCAGGGGACCCUUCGGGGCCUUGCGCUCUAGGAUGAGCCUACGUCGGAUUAGCUAGUUGGUGGGGUAAAGGCCUACCAAGGCGACGAUCCGUAGCUGGUCUGUGAGGAUGACCAGCCACACUGGGACUGAGACACGGCCCAGACUCCUACGGGAGGCAGCAGUGGGGAAUCUUGGACAAUGGGGGAAACCCCGAUCCAGCGAUGCCGCGUGUGUGAAGAAGGCCUUCGGGUUGUAAAGCACUUUAGUUGGGGAAGAAAAGUAAUGAGUGAAUAACUGAUUGCUCUGACGGUACCCAAAGAAUAAGCACCGGCUAACUCUGUGCCAGCAGCCGCCGUAA